UCAAACACAGAUUGAUGAUUAUGAGCAAUAAUUUUCGACGGUCCAGAUGUGAUUGAGAGGAAGAAGUUGAUUAUGUCGUGCAUUAUUUCCUGAAGAUCAUGUGAUUGAAAGGAAGGAGGGAAUAACGGAAGGGAUGAGGAGCAGGCAAGCAACAAUUGACGAGGGCCACAUGAUGCAAGAGAAAUCUCAAGGUGUCUAAAUCUUGUGGGAGUUUCUCUAGUAUAAAACCAAAUUAAAGAAAUUCCCUCUAGCCUUUCACCAAGGUGUCUAAAUCUGUCAACCUUAUUGAUUCUUUCUCUGGUUUGGUGAGUCUCACUGCAUUGUUGCUCACAUGGUGUUUGAACUUGAGGCAUUUACCACCAUUAAAAAAGCUCAGGGCAUUGAAAAGGUUAGAUUUGUCUCAUACUUGUGCACUUGAAAAGAUGCCUCAAGGCAUGGAAUCUCUAUCCAACCUGAGGUUGCUUAGAAUGAUGAAAAGGAGUUUUGUGGUGGGAUAUUGGCUCAACUCUCUAGCCUGCAAGUCUUUGUACUGGAGGAGAAGUUAAUUGCUGGAAGAUGCUCCGGUAACAGUUAGAGGAGAAGAAAAUUUGUGUUCUGUUGCUUGAAAAUGGGCAGCCAUCUCCUCCCCCUUCUCUUAGAAGAAUGAAAAUAAAACCAAAAUAAUAGUGGGAGUCAGUGGUGGAGUGGGAGAAUCCUAAUGCCAAGGAUGUCCCUAAUCCCUUCGUCGUGUUGUGGUAGGAGAAUAUAAUAUUUGUGUUGGGUUAUUUGUCAUUAAUAGGCAAUCUACCCUAAGAAGUAGGGUUACCAUUUGUCAAUGGUAGUUGCACCCACCAUUGACAAAUGUAUCAACCCAUGUGUAGCCAUUGUUGAGAAGAUGUCAUGGAUGCCUAUAAAAAGGCAUGAUUUUGUGAGAGUAAAUAAGAUGAGAGUUGUGAGAAUGUGAAGAGAGUAGAGUGAAAGUGAAGAGCUGCAAUGGCAGCAGCCUUGUUGCCAUUGCAGCAGCUGCAAGUGCAGCAAGAGAGCUGGGAGUUGAGUGUGAGUGAAGUGAUCUUCCUCCUCCAUGUAUUGUGUUGUAAUCCUUUCUCUAUCUCUAAAUAAUAUUGACUCUCCCGUAGAUGUAGGCGGUUUUGCCGAACCACGUUAAAUAUUGUGUCUCAGUGUGCUUACCCUCCUUUUGAGCAAAUAUCAGUACACCCCCGGUUGGAUAACCCCAACAAUUGGUAUCAGAGCACAUGAUUUAAAGGGGUGUUUGAUUUUGCUCAAAAAUAAAAGUUGUCAAAAUUGUGUUUUGACCAUACCACUGUGUAGAGGAGGAAGAGACGAAGCCACUGUUGAAAACUGCGUCGAAAUCUGACGUCGGAAACGGCCGCACGCGCCGGCGGGGUGGCUGGCCACGCGCACAGACGCGCGCCACGUGUCUUCUCCGCCCGGAUGGGCUGACCCGACCCGAAUACCAGACGACCCGACCCACGUGCCAGACCCGGAUAAGGAUGAUGUCAUCAUGACAUCAGCAUGGCGUCAGCAUGCCCAGUUGGCAUGCCAUGUCAGACACGUACCAGUUAGAGGAGAAGAAAAUUUGUGUUCUGUUGCCUGAAAAUGGGCAGCCAUCUCCUCCCCCUUCUCUUAGAAGAAUGAAAAUAAAACCAAAAUAAUGGUGGAGUCAGUGGUGGAGUGGGAGAAUCCUAAUGCCAAGGAUGUCCCUAAUCCCUUCGUCGAGUUGUGGUAGGAGAAUAUAAUAUUGGUGCGCUCUCCGCUGCUAAGACAACUGAUAGAGUCAAUAUCCUCACCUUCAUGCUCAGCCGCAACAAUUAUGAUUCUGCAUUAUCCCCUUCAUUCCUUCAAAUCAUUACAUUCUGAGAGAAAAAUAUCAAACAAUCUGAUAUGUGCCAAGUAACUGGCUCUUUGUUCUGUUGCUGAACAUCUGACGUGAACACUGGCAACUAUGCUCUUCUGCAAUAUGCUUGUUGACAUCUGGGCUUGGUUUAAACAUCCCUUGUUUCAAGAAUGUGUUGCUGCUGUCCAUUGUGAAGUUGGGAUGUGAAUCAAUUCCCUAAUCUCUCUUCCUUUUGAUUUGUAGAGUGAUGUUGUAUGUGAUAUAUAAAUCAGUGCUUCGAUCCCUAGGUUGUUCAUGCAACCACCAACAACAAAAGAAAAUUAAAUUGUGGGAAGAUGGGCCAUUUGAGGCUUUUUCUUAACCUCUUAAAGCUUUCUUGGGUUCAAUCCAACCACAUAAAAUUUUCAUGCA